UCCACCCUCUCUUCCCCGACCCUUCUUCCCGAUCUCUUCUCCUCGCCACCGUGUCUCUCUCGCGUCGCCGCCGAUCGCCGCGAGCUCACCGCCGGCGGAGGUUUUCCUCUCUGGAGUCUCACCAACGUCAAGCUUCCUUGGAUACCGAUGGUUGAUUCUCUCCACCCCAGAUCAAUCGUGCUUGCCGAGCCCUAGUUUUGUUCCGGCGUUGCCGGAUUGACCUCAGAUCAGAUCGCCGGUGUAGGUUCAUUGCCGGUGCUUUGCAUUCGGAUCAUUGCUUCGUGUGAGUAGAGCUUCGAUCAGGAAGGGGGUCCUAGCCCUAGCCUUGAUCCUCCUCUGUUCUUGAUGUUGUGCCCUAGCUCUGAAUUUCGCCUCCUCUUCAGAGCAAUGGGGUUCCGACAAUGAGACAGCGAGGGUUACGGGAUUGGAGAAGAAGAAUAGUGGGGUUUUGUUCUGUGGGGAUUCGAUUGAAGAGGUGUUUAUUGAGCUGUGGUUUGUGCUUGAUCAGUAGUCUUCCUGCUUGAUCCAGUUGUUGGCAGUGAGGUGAGGUUCUGCUCGGUUCUAUGGGGUGUACCUGUUCCGGCAACCCUCCAACAGUAGCUCCCCUGGUUUCCACAAUCAACAGUGGUUGUUCAUUGAGGGUUCUUGUCUGGUCCAGCAGAUCACCUUAUUUUACAACAGCUUGAUCGAGGUUGAGGCCGUUGGGAGAUAUUCCACGCUAGCCCCUUUGUCGCGAGGAUUUCUAGAUAUCGUUUUCUGUAUUCGCUUUUAUACGUAUACUUGUGAUGUGGGUUUGUAUUGGGGACUUUAUAUCUAACAUUCGGGUUUGUUACUUUGUUUUCCGCUGCGAAUAUUUCAUUACUUCGUGGAUUUCGUUUUUUCGUUGUAGUGGAGUAGGAGGUGUACGUAUAUCUUCGUUGAUUUCUAUAUCAUCUUUUCUUUAUACAA